CCAAAACAGCUGUAGUAGGCUGAUCUCCAGGGCAUGAUGCAAAUGAACUUCUGCUGGUUCCAGUGAGAGAUGGGCGUCAUUGAGAGCAUCUGAGAAGGAUGUAGCUCUAGCAGGAAAUGGAAUGCUUCAGUUAGUGAUGAGUGCAGAACUGGGAAUUACUGAAGACUGAGGAUAUUGGCUGAGGCUGAGGGAGAAGAGGGAGAUUUCUGGGCAGAGCUGAGCCUGCAGCAGCUACCAAGUGCCACCAAGAGCAUGCAGCAGUUGCACCAACUGCCCUUAUGUUUCUCCAGCAAGAAAUGGGAGCCCAUCUUCCUUGAGACCCCAGGCACUACAAAGCACUCCAGGAUUUCUUAUCACCCCUUUCAGUAUUGCCUUUCAGCAGCUUGAUUAUACAUAGCAGGGCCCAGUUCCCUUCUGCCUUUGUGCAUUUUCUAAGCAAGAUUUUACAUGCCAAAAGCUACAGUAUGCUUCUUAUGGGAACAGAGGUAAGCUGUGGAGCAGGAUGCUUUUGCUGACCCAGUCCAGCUGUUCUCUUCUGUUCUUCACUGCUGGAACUUUGUUUCUUUUCCAGCCUGUGUUGUUUAUGUGACUUCAAGCAGGAUUUUGUCUGCAAAGCAGACUUUAAAACCAUUAUUAUUGUGACCAUUUUGCUUAAUAAAGUUCAGAUUUGUAUUUAUUAUAAUGAAUUA
rnacentral:lncRNA from 1 species